GCUGUCGUCAGCUCGUGUCGUGAGAUGUUGGGUUAAGUCCCGCAACGAGCGCAACCCUCACCUUUAGUUGCCAUCGUUUAGUUGGGCACUCUGAAAGAACUGCCAGUGAUAAGCUGGAGGAAGGUGGGGAUGACGUCAAGUCCUCAUGGCCCUUACGUGUUGGGCUACACACGUGCUACAAUGGCAUUUACAACAGGAAGCAAAACGGCGACGUUAAGCAAAUCCUAAAAAAAUGCCUCAGUUCGGAUUGUACUCUGCAACUCGAGUACAUGAAGCUGGAAUUACUAGUAAUCGCGACUGCGCGCCGGGGUGAAUACGUUACCCGGGUCUUGUACCACACGCAUCCAAAC
rnacentral:rRNA from 1 species